AUCUCAUUCUCUCUCUCUCUCUAGAAGUUAAAGAAGCGGCAUCAUCUCGUUCUCUCUCUCUAUAACUAAAGAAGUGAUGACUAUUAUCCUUACGAUUGUGAUUCUCUUCAUGUGAUGUAUCAAGUGAAGUUCAGCAUCCGAAAGGGGUGGAGUUUGAAAGGGCAAAUCCAUACAGGUUGGAUAUUGAUUCUGCGACCACUAAAAACGAUGCUGACUUUGGUGUGUUCACCAUCCGGUACAUGAAAACGUGGAUGGGAGUAACAAAGGAAAAAUUCCAUAGUUUUUUUCCUCUUACACGAACGGAAAAGAAAUCCAAACUCACUCUUCUACGGAAAAAAUAUGCAACUCGGAUUGUGACAUCGAAUGCGAAUAAACACCGUGAUAGAAUCAUCCAAGAAGCGAAUGAAUAUGCAAAGACUAGGCUGUCUUUUUUAUUAAGAAUUUUGUUCAUAUUUGGUCAAAGAUAGUUUGUUAGUAUUAUGCAUGAACUAAUUGUGUAGAUGUUUAUUCUCAAAAACCUAUUUUGUAUGUUUAUUUGAAUUUAGUUAGGGUUA